rnacentral:rRNA from 1 species
AUUGAACGCUGGCGGCAGGCCUAAGACAUGCAAGUUGAGCGAGAAAGCCCUUCGGGGUGAGUACAGCGGCGGACGGGUGAGUAACGCGUAGGAAUCUACCCAGUAGUGGGGGACAACUAGUGGAAACGCUAGCUAAUACCGCAUACGCCCUAAGGGGGAAAGCGGGGGAUCUUCGGACCUCGUGCUAUUGGAUGAGCCUGCGUAAGAUUAGCUUGUUGGUGAGGUAAUGGCUCACCAAGGCUACGAUCUUUAGCUGGUCUGAGAGGAUGAUCAGCCACACCGGGACUGAGACACGGCCCGGACUCCUACGGGAGGCAGCAGUCGGGAAUAUUGCGCAAUGGGGGAAACCCUGACGCAGCCAUGCCGCGUGUGUGAAGAAUGCCCUAGGGUUGUAAAGCACUUUCAAUUGGGAGGAAAAGCUAAUGGUUAAUAGCCAUUAGCCCUGACGUUACCUUUAGAAGAAGCACCGGCUAACUCCGUGCCAGCUGCCGCGGUAAUACGGAGGGUGCAAGCGUUAAUCUGAAUUACUGGGCGUAAAGCGCGCGUAGGCGGCUCUUUUAGUCGGAUGUGAAAGCCCCGGGCUCAACCUGGGAACUGCUUCCGAUACUGGAGGGCUAGAGUGUAGGAGAGGGAGGUAGAAUUCCAUGUGUAGCAGUGAAAUGCGUAGAUAUAUGGAGGAAUACCAGUGGCGAAGGCGGCCUCCUGGCUUAACACUGACGCUGAGGUGCGAAAGCGUGGGGAGCAAACGGGAUUAGAUACCCCGGUAGUCCACGCCGUAAACGAUGUCUACUAGCUGUAGGGGUACUUGAGACCUUUGUAGCGCAGCUAACGCACUAAGUAGACCGCCUGGGGAGUACGGCCGCAAGGUUAAAACUCAAAUGAAUUGACGGGGGCCCGCACAAGCAGUGGAGCAUGUGGUUUAAUUCGAUGCAACGCGAAGAACCUUACCAGGCCUUGACAUCCCCGGAACUUUCUAGAGAUAGAUUGGUGCCUUCGGGAACCGGGUGACAGGUGCUGCAUGGCUGUCGUCAGCUCGUGUCGUGAGAUGUUGGGUUAAGUCCCGUAACGAGCGCAACCCUUGUCCUUAGUUGCCAGCACGUAAUGGUGGGAACUCUAAGGAGACUGCCGGUGACAAACCGGAGGAAGGUGGGGACGACGUCAAGUCAUCAUGGCCCUUACGGCCUGGGCUACACACGUGCUACAAUGGCUAGGACAGACGGCUGCAAACCAGCGAUGGGGAGCUAAUCCGACAAACCUAGUCGUAGUCCGGAUUGGAGUCUGCAACUCGACUCCAUGAAGUCGGAAUUGCUAGUAAUCGCGAAUCAGAAAUGUCGCGGUGAAAUACGUUCCCGGGCCU